UACAGAGGUCUCAAGCGUUGUUCGGAUUCAUUGGGCGUAAAGGGUGCGUAGGUGGCGCCAUAAGUCAGGUGUGAAAUCUCGGGGCUUAACUCCGAAACUGCAUUUGAUACUGGCGUGCUUGAGGACUGGAGAGGAGACUGGAAUUCAUGGUGUAGCAGUGAAAUGCGUAGAGAUCAUGAGGAAGACCAGUGGCGAAGGCGGAUCUCUGGACAGUUCCUGACGCUGAGGCGCGAAGGCCAGGGGAGCAAACGGGG
rnacentral:rRNA from 1 species